rnacentral:misc_RNA from 1 species
GUGAGUUUUCAGCCUUAUUUAUGCCUUCAUAUUCAUUUACGAUUCUUUUCUUGAAUUUGGUUUCUGGGUUUUCUUGGACUUUGAAUUUUUUAAUGCGAUGGGGUUUAAGGAUUUUGAUUGAUUGUGUUGUUUUAGCUUGUGGAUUGCUCCAAUUUCGAGUUUUUUUCAUAAUGGGUAGAAGCCAAGGUUUCCAGUGGUUGUUUACAAUCUCUAAUUACCUUAAGUGGAAUAACUAGUCAAUCUGUGGUUGGUUUGAUUCUAACUUCCAAGGAAUUUGAUAGAUUGAGUGAUUGGAUAGCGAUCUUCAGGUUAAUCCAUAACUCUAUUGUACUUCUUUUUCUUUUAGUUGAAAAAUAUAUUUCCAUUCUGUCGGAAAUUUUGAUCAAAUGCGGCUAGAAAGCUGUUUUGCAAAUAUGCAAAGAAACUGAUUUUAUCACUCCUUCAAUAUGGAAAAGAUACUAUAAGCAGCUAACAGGAAGAACUUGUUUGUAAAAGAACCUGCUUUGUUUACUGUAUAUCCUGGAGUAUUUUCCCUUUAAUUGAUUUCAUGUUUACUCUGGAUUCCUGAUCUUCUUUAUAAAUUGUGAUGAAUCCCGUUUCUUACUUAAAAAUGUGCUUAUUUUGGAUGCUAAAUGUCAUUUUCAAUUUUCUAUCUUUCCUUCAACUUCAUAGGCGUUGAAGAAUGUUGAAUGGCCAGAGCAGUUUCCCUUCAAGGAGGAGGAUUUCCAGCGGUUUGAUGAGUAAAUGCUCUAUUCUACAUUUUAUGUUUUCAUUAAAUUCUAUGUUCAUUAUAUUUUCCUUUAGGUUUUUUCUUGGCCUAUGACUUUGUUGUAUACAUGGAUCCCUUUAGUUCACGACCGUCUACUGAAAGUUGAUGUGCAUUGUUUUCACUGAAUUGUUAUGGUUAAAAGAAGCAAAUUUAGGACAAUCUUGGGUUAGGUUGAUUACAAUUGCUUCACUUAUAGGAAUUAUCAGUUUUGUCCCUUCAGCUUCCCAUGCUAUAAUUUAUCCUCGAGGGGAAUAUAUUGUUGCAUAUGUUAUGGCAUAAUCUGUUAAAAUCAGACUUAAUGGUGCAGCUGAACUGAGUAGAGUUUGUUUUAGCUAACUGUUGUUUAGUUUCUCCAACUCCAAGAAGCUUCAAUCUGUUUGAUUUUCAAUCACCCUAUAUUCAUCUUGAGAACUGAUUUUGUAAUUUUUAAAUCUAAAAUUCAAAAAUUGACAAUUUAAGGUCACCAGACUCAUUGUUCUAUGAAGCUCCUCGAUUUGUGACGCACAUUGAUGACCCAGCCAUUGCUGCACUGACAAAGUACUACUCAGAGGUUUUCCCCCCCAGCAAUACUCCAGGAGUUAGCAUUUUGGACAUGUGUAGCAGUUGGGUCAGUCAUUUUCCACAAGGAUACAAGCAAGAUAGAAUAGUUGGACUGGGCAUGAACGAAGAUGAACUCAAGCAGAAUCCAGUAAGAUCCGAUUCUUGUACGUUUUUAGUUAUUUUCUUAGCCAAUUAUUUUUAAACAAUGACCUUAAAAUAUACUUUCCAAGACUGCAAAUUGCUGCCAGUUACUGCAUAUUUUUGCUAUUACAGUAGAAUAUGAUAACUGUUGAUUAAGGAUCUUAUUGCAUAAUUGCAACUGGUUUUAUGAGCAUUAUAAAAAUGAUUCCCAUAUUAUUUUUUUUUCACCCUGUUGAGGGCUUAUGACUUCAACAAUGGAGUCCUAGUCCUUUAUAUUGUGAUGUUAUGUGCUGACAAUGAGAGAAAGAAUAUAGUAAUUGAAAAGUGAUCUUUUUUUUUCUUUUCUUUUUUUACUUUUCUGCCCAGAGUGGUAGUCGCUACUCAACAAAUUCUCAUUGCAUCUUUACGUAUGAUAUUUCUAUUGAUCAAAACAAUAUGUUGAUUGAGUUAUUUUUCCUAUAGGUUCUGACUGAGUACAUAGUUCAAGACUUAAAUUUGAAUCCUGAACUUCCAUUUGAAGAUAAUUCCUUUGAUGUCAUAACUAAUGUGGUCAGUGUGGAUUACCUAACAAAGCCUCUUGAUAUUUUCAAGGAGAUGCGCCGGAUACUUAAGCCUGGCGGGCAGGCUAUAAUGAGGUGAGAACUGAGAACUUUUGUCCACUUGCAAUUUAUUAGAAGAAAUUAUUUUUCAUUGCCAACCUCUUGUCAUCUGUUUAAUGUAUGGUUGUUUCCAUGAAGCAAUUCCUUGACCUUUCAAAAGAUUUCAACAAAAAUAUUUAGUUAUCAUUUUCAAAAUGCUUAAAACAGAAUUCGAACCACACAAAUGUCAAUCAAACAAAGUAAAAAAGAACUACACUAUCGCUUGUAGGGCAUUUUUUGGUUAUUAGAAGAGGAAUGUGGAGUUGAGAAUUCAGGUUUGGUUGAAUUGAGGAACACUAAAUGCAGAAAUUAUAUUGAACUCAUUCUCCUCCUCAGAUACCUCCUACCCCCAACUCCCCUUAUCCUACCAUUUCUAACUUGGGGAAUUGCCUUUGUAUGUCAGCUUUUCUAAUCGUUGCUUUUGGACAAAAGCAAUCUCUAUAUGGACAUCAACUGGAGAUGCUGACCACGCUUUGAUUGUUGGAUCAUAUUUCCAUUAUGCUGGAGGAUUUGAACCUCCUCAGGCUCUGGACAUAUCUCCCAACCCUGGACGAUCUGAUCCCAUGUACAUUGUUUACUCUAGAAAGGCAUCUACAGCUUAAGCUCAAGCGGACGGGUUGACUAACAAUGCCCUAAAUUUUGUGGGUAUCUAUCUAUGUUUUUUCCAUUAUUGUAGACAAUAAAUCAUGUGAAAUUAAUUUACAACCAUAAGAUAUUAAUAGCUUUUAGAAGAUUUGGAUAAUGAAAAGGUACUGCUUUGCAGGCCAGUGAUGUCGGUGCCUUUAUUUCAUAAACACCGUGUGCAUGUGUAAAGACACUGACAACAAACAAAUGGACAGAUAUAAAAACAUAAAUGUUGAUUCCAAGAUGCUGCCACAACCAUUGAAAUAGAAGAAUCCAAUUCUCGUGAAAAGCUGAUAAUUGAGAUUCCAAUUCUAUUAUCAUUUUCACAAGUAAUCAAAAACUGGUUCCCCAACGAGUGUUCACUGUCAGUCCAUACAAUUCUAGAUAACAACGAUAUAUACGCUAAUGAUACAGACACAGGCACGUACACAACAGGAUAAAUAUCAAAGAAAGCAAGACAACCACAGAACCAACAAUGCGAGGAAUGGGGGUGUUUUUGGCAAGAUCAAGCCCAACCCUGCUUGUAUCUGCGAAAAAGGUCUUCUGUUUGAGCAUUCUUGAAGGCGCUGCAGGCAAUUAGAUAGACCCAUAUAAGGACAACAACUGCCACAAUGAGAAUAAUAUUGGCUUUCCUCCAUUCUUUCCUAAGAUUCCCUAACAAACCAGCUUUGCAAGAAUUACAAUUGUAGCAGAGCUGGCUCUGGUCAUUGUUCCACAAGUAGCAGUCUGGAUCUGAUGUUGGGUUUGCUGGGUUUAACCACAGUGUUGGGUUCACAUAAUUGUAGCCACAAACUGUUGGGGGCUUACAACACCCUGACUGUAACAUAAAGUUUACAGCAAAUAAAUUAAAACAAGAACAAGGAAGAAAAAGGGAAAACAAAAGCAAAGCAAAGAAAGCAUCCCACCACCAAACUGUCUCACCAGACACUAAUACUUGACACAGCUGGCAACCAUACAAGGCCAUAAUGUCCAUUUUUAUCUUCUGCAAUAAGGACAAACCUUGCAAAGGAUUACUUUACUUGAUCUAAAUUCCAUGAGUUGGUAGGUAAUCUAAAGGCACAAACUUUCUUGGGUUCAUUUCCAAGAACCGUUUUCGUUAUCAUUAGAGCAUCAAGAAUGCCCCACGCAGCAUGGCCUGUCACUGUUUCUUUCUAAUACAUCAUUAAUUUAUCAAGUCACGCUGAUUAUGAUUAAAGAUCUGAAAAUUUUAAAAGUUCCUUAUCUAGUUAUAUGGACCACACAGCACAGAUCCAAUUUAAGCGUAAUUCAACAAUCAUAAUCCCAAAAUGGGCCCACUAAUUGUUUUUUAAGGGAAAAAUGGGUCCUGACUUGAACCGCCUUGCACCUUCCCACCUAGCUAGCUCUGUCCUAUCACACCAGCAGCUUCGUGUAACAACCACCCUAAUAAGGCUUAAACUCUUUCCCCAUCUCAAAGAAAAGCACAGGGGGAAGAGAAUUGGCUAACAAUUAAUGAACCUCAAAUGUGAGAGUUUAACCAAAGAAUAAAAACACAGAAAAAAGUUGCUCAAACUUCUAACUUUUAGAUUCAAUUCCCAUGAAAUUGUGCCCAUUUUCAAGUUUCAUCUAAGUGGGAGUGUGGGAUAUUUGAAUGAGCAUAAAAUCUAUCUUGAAUACGAAAUGGAUUUUGUAUCCUUAUAGUGAAGUUCAGAAAGGAUGGCAAGAAAUCUUAGAUUUGAAUUGGUAAAUUGAAGAAAGAAAAACAAGUUACCUGAAGAGGGGAUAUAUGGGACAUGAAGAACUGAUCAGCAGUGAGAUAAUUCUGACUCAGCUUAGAACAAACAUCACUCUCUGCCAGACAAUUCCUAAUCUUGACCCAAUUCUUAGAAUUCACCACAUGAUUUCUGAGCCAAGAAGAGAAUCCUUCAAGCCUAUACUCUUUAUAACCCCUUCCAGGGACAUCAUACCCACCAUCUGCGCGCGUGACAACAAAAGCGAAAACCAGAAGGAUCAAGAGAAGUCCGAUGAGAAUGGCCAUGCAGCAGAGGUAAAAUGCGAGGAGUGUUUCCUUAUACCAGUAAGCACCAACAAAGCCUGCAAGGGAGACAAGGAGAACGAGGAUUCCAAGCAGGACGACAGGCCAACGGAAGUAGUGGAUGCACUCGUUGUCGGGUUUGGAGGCAAGCCAGAUACCAGAGGCAAUUAUGGGAAUUGAGCAGAGGAAGGCUACAAAGUUUAGAACUGCUGUGAUGUUAUUGGCUACUCCCAUGGUGGAUGAAGAGAGAAAUCGAGUAGAGUAACUGAGUCUUGAGCUCUAGGACUCGGACCACAACAAGAAGAAGUGUUUCAACUUGGGUGAAAGAAAGAUAGGAACCAAGAAAGGCAUGUGGCAUGCGUUGAGAGUUGUGGCUGAGGAUUUGUUUGGAGAGUUUCUUGACUAUAUUAUUACCUUCUUGUUGACUUUCUUUGUAUCAUCCCAUUCCCAUCCAUUCUUAUUAACAAAUUUUCCCACUUUCAUUAUUAUAAAAGAAAUCAUCCCUUCU